GCCUGGGGGGCUCAGUCAGUUAAGCGUCUGACUUCAGCUCAGGUCAUGAUCACUGUUCGUGGGUUCGAGCCCCGCGUCGGGCU
rnacentral:tRNA from 1 species